UAUUUCUUUAAAACACUGCACACAUGUGAAUCUCUCUCUCUCUCUCUUCCCUGUUUCCUUGUUUCUGAAAAACGUAACCACACGCUCUCACCUUGUUGCUCCAUCUCGUCACCGCCGCUGCCUGCCACCUUCAUCGCUUCCGCCGCGUUCUGCUCUCUCUCUCUCUCGCUCUCCUCGUUGCAAUCUUUUUCUCACGCUCACACAUAUUGUUAAGGUUGCUUCUUGAGGUUACUUACUUAGCAUGAAUGAUGAAUCCCAAGUUUGAGCACAUAUUGUGGAGCUAAGGUUCAGGAUAAAUUGCAAGCUGAAAAUACCAUCUCAACUCACUACUAUUUCUCACUAUGCAAGUUUGACAUCUUCCUCCAAGGCUAAUCAGAAGAUGAAGAAAAUGCAAGCUGAAAUCAAUUCGCUCAAGGACAACACUUCACAAGUUGAUAUAUUGAAGGAGCAAGUUGCAUUUUUAUUGCAAAUGCAAAACUCUAAGGAAAAUCAUGUAAAUUGUUUGUGAUUAUUUUUGACUAAAAAUAUUGACUUGUGUUAAAUGUGAGUGUGUGUAUGAUAGUAAGAUCAGUAGAUAAAAUUUUAAUUAGGUAUUAAAUGCAUUAUAGGCACUUUUUAGCAUGGUGUUUAGAAUUACCUUAUUUUUUUUAGUAUUUAUUCAAUGUAAUCACAAAACAAGCCCAACCAGGGGUUGCCACUUAUAGGUUGGGAAAGAAGAAACUUAACCAUACUGUUAUUCAGCUCAGUGCACUAGGUUCUCUAUUUCUGGAGUAAACCAAUUUUACAAUGACAUAACUGAACUGUAUAUACUCUAUAUAUAUGUAGGACCAAACUAAAUCUUAGUGUUAGUUCUACUUCAUGGGUUGCAAUUAUUUUCCAGCACCCAUUGUUUCGGAAGUAAAUUCCAAUGGCUGGAUUCAGUAACACAAAAAUUAGAUGAGCAUCGAAAGAGAUCAUAUAUUGCGUUACUUUUCUAGUUAAUUUGUUCAUACCAAUAAAGAUUGUUUUAAGUCAAGCAAGCACUGAGGAUCAUGAAGCAACAUCACUAGGAAAUAUUUAGAUAUUUUUGUGAACUUCUAAUUUUGAUGUAAUUGUUUUGUAUGUUUAGUCACUUUACUAAUGUAAUUUUGUACUACUUUAAUUAUUGUUUUAGUUAAGUUUUGAUGUAUGGAUGUUACUAUUGAAUAAAUUAUAUGAAUGAGAAUAAGUCAUUUAUAUUUA